rnacentral:lncRNA from 1 species
GGUUCUGCACUCAUAUACAUGUGUAUGGCGCGCGUUAUUUUGACACCAUAUUUGUACACGGUAAUUUCAUUUUGAACACCAAAAAAAUGUAGAAAUAUUAUAUACAUAUUUCUUUAGAUUAGAAGAACAACUUAAUUUGCUAUAUAUAAUCUAUUACUUUUGCAAAGGAAUCUAGUACAUCCAUAAUUGAAGAAACAAAUUGACAAGUACAAAACAUAUACAUAAAUUAAAAAAAGAAAGAGUUUCCUCAUAAUAUUGAUACUUAAUAAUUAACUUCACUUUCUUAUUCCCCAAUAAUUCAAAAUUAAGAUAAAAUAAAAAGCUAAUCCUCAUGAUCAAAUUUGCUUAACAACUUGAUGUAUCUGUUGAGGCAUAAUCUCAAGAUUAAGUCUUGAACAUGAUCUAGCCAUUUCACCAGCUAAU